AUUGAACGCUGGCGGAAUGCUUUACACAUGCAAGUCGAGCGGCAGCACGGGGGCAACCCUGGUGGCGAGCGGCGAACGGGUGAGUAAUACAUCGGAACAUGCCCAGUCGUGGGGGAUAACACUUCGAAAGAAGUGCUAAUACCGCAUACGUCCUGAGGGAGAAAGCGGGGGAUCUUCGGACCUCGCGCGAUUGGAGUGGCCGAUGUCAGAUUAGCUAGUUGGUGGGGUAAAGGCCUACCAAGGCAACGAUCUGUAGCUGGUCUGAGAGGAUGAUCAGCCACACUGGGACUGUGACACGGCCCAGACUCCUACGGGAGGCAGCGGUGGGGAAUUGUGGACAAUUGGGGCAACCCUGAUCCAGCCAUUCCGCGUGAGUGAAGAAGGCCUUCGGGUUGUAAAGCUCUUUCGGCAGGAACGAAACGGCGAGCUCUAGCAUAGCUUGCUAAUGGCGGUACCUGAAGAAGAAGCACCGGCUAACUACGUGCCAGCCGCCGCGGUAAAAC
rnacentral:rRNA from 1 species